rnacentral:rRNA from 1 species
GGGAAUUCGAUUAGUUUGAUCCUGGCUCAGGACGAACGCUGGCGGCGUGCCUAAUACACGCAAGUCGAGCGGACAGAUGGGAGCUUGCUCCCUGAUGUUAGCGGCGGACGGGUGAGUAACACGUGGGUAACCUGCCUGUAAGACUGGGAUAACUCCGGGAAACCGGGGCUAAUACCGGAUGCUUGUUUGAACCGCAUGGUUCAGACAUAAAAGGUGGCUUCGGCUACCACUUACAGAUGGACCCGCGGCGCAUUAGCUAGUUGGUGAGGUAACGGCUCACCAAGGCAACGAUGCGUAGCCGACCUGAGAGGGUGAUCGGCCACACUGGGACUGAGACACGGCCCAGACUCCUACGGGAGGCAGCAGUAGGGAAUCUUCCGCAAUGGACGAAAGUCUGACGGAGCAACGCCGCGUGAGUGAUGAAGGUUUUCGGAUCGUAAAGCUCUGUUGUUAGGGAAGAACAAGUGCCGUUCAAAUAGGGCGGCACCUUGACGGUACCUAACCAGAAAGCCACGGCUAACUACGUGCCAGCAGCCGCGGUAAUACGUAGGUGGCAAGCGUCGUCCGGAAUUAUUGGGCGUAAAGGGCUCGCAGGCGGUUUCUUAAGUCUGAUGUGAAAGCCCCCGGCUCAACCGGGGAGGGUCAUUGGAAACUGGGGGACUUGAGUGCAGAAGAGGAGAGUGGAAUUCCACGUGUAGCGGUGAAAUGCGUAGAGAUGUGGAGGAACACCAGUGGCGAAGGCGACUCUCUGGUCUGUAACUGACGCUGAGGAGCGAAAGCGUGGGGAGCGAACAGGAUUAGAUACCCUGGUAGUCCACGCCGUAAACGAUGAGUGCUAAGUGUUAGGGGGUUUCCGCCCCUUAGUGCUGCAGCUAACGCAUUAAGCACUCCGCCUGGGGAGUACGGUCGCAAGACUGAAACUCAAAGGAAUUGACGGGGGCCCGCACAAGCGGUGGAGCAUGUGGUUUAAUUCGAAGCAACGCGAAGAACCUUACCAGGUCUUGACAUCCUCUGACAAUCCUAGAGAUAGGACGUCCCCUUCGGGGGCAGAGUGACAGGUGGUGCAUGGUUGUCGUCAGCUCGUGUCGUGAGAUGUUGGGUUAAGUCCCGCAACGAGCGCAACCCUUGAUCUUAGUUGCCAGCAUUCAGUUGGGCACUCUAAGGUGACUGCCGGUGACAAACCGGAGGAAGGUGGGGAUGACGUCAAAUCAUCAUGCCCCUUAUGACCUGGGCUACACACGUGCUACAAUGGACAGAACAAAGGGCAGCGAAACCGCGAGGUUAAGCCAAUCCCACAAAUCUGUUCUCAGUUCGGAUCGCAGUCUGCAACUCGACUGCGUGAAGCUGGAAUCGCUAGUAAUCGCGGAUCAGCAUGCCGCGGUGAAUACAUUCCCGGGCCUUGUACACACCGCCCGUCACACCACGAGAGUUUGUAACACCCGAAGUCGGUGAGGUAACCUUUUAGGAGCCAGCCGCCGAAGGUGGGACAGAUGAUUGGGGUGAAGUCGUAAGCAAGUAGCC